GUACCUACUGAGGAAGCAUCGGCUUACUACGUGCCAGCAGCCGCGGUAAUACGUAGGAUGCAAGCGUUGUCCGGAAUUACUGGGCGUAAAGAGCUCGUAGGCGGGAAGGUACGUUUGGAAGUAAAUCUCACGGCUCAACUGUGAGCUCAUUCCAAAUACGGCUUUUCUUGAGGGCAGCAGGGGAGAAUGGAAUUCCCAGUGUAGCGGUGAAAUGCGUAGAUAUUGGGAAGAAUACCGGUGGCGAAGGCGAUUCUCUGGGCUGUGACUGACGCUGAGGAGCGAAAGCGUGGGUAGCGAACGGGAUUAGAUACCCCGGUAGUCCACGCUGUAAACGAUGGAUGCUAGACGUGUGGGGUAUCGACCCCCUGCGUGUCGCAGCUAACGCAUUAAGCAUCCCGCCUGAGGAGUACGGCCGCAAGGUUAAAACUCAAAGGAAUUGACGGGGGCCCGCACAAGCGGAGGAACAUGUGGUUUAAUUCGAUGAUACGCGAGGAACCUUACCCGGGCUUGAAUUGCAGAGGAAGGAUUUGGAGACAAUGACGCCCUUCGGGGCCUCUGUGAAGGUGCUGCAUGGUUGUCGUCAGCUCGUGCCGUGAGGUGUCGGCUUAAGUGCCAUAACGAGCGCAACCCCUCUCCUUAGUUGCCAUCAGGUCAAGCUGGGCACUCUGAGGACACUGCCACCGUAAGGUGUGAGGAAGGUGGGGAUGACGUCAAAUCAGCACGGCCCUUACGUCCGGGGCUACACACGUGUUACAAUGGCAGGUACAGAGAGAUGGUCCCUUGCAAAAUGGAUCAAAUCCUUAAAGCCUGUCUCAGUUCGGACUGGGGUCUGCAACCCGACCCCACGAAGCUGGAUUCGCUAGUAAUCGCGCAUCAGCCAUGGCGCGGUGAAUACGUUCCCGGGCCUUGCACUCACCGCCCGUCAAG
rnacentral:rRNA from 1 species